AUGGCUGGUUUAAGGCCAGCACAAGAAUGGAUCUUGCAGGGGAGAUGGAAGCUCUCAGGAGAGAUCUACAAGACCACAGGUGUGAAUCAUGGCAAUACAGUGAAAGACGGUGAUUUACUGCUUUUGAGGGCAUGCAUGGAUAUGAUUAACGGAUGGAAGUGCAGGACUCCAAGAUUUACUUCUUUCCCUUUCCAGCAGAGUUACCUGAGAGGAGUAAAAUCUGCUGGUGGAGUCACUCCAUUAUUCUUAUCUGUGGAGAUCUAG
rnacentral:lncRNA from 1 species